GACGGGGGAUGCAAGUGUUAUCCGGAAUCACUGGGCGUAAAGCGUCUGCAGGUGGUCUCCUAAGUCCACUGUUAAACCUUGAGGCUCAACCUCAAAUCUGCAUUGGAAACUAGGAGACUUGAGUAUAGUAGGGGUAGAGGGAAUUUCCAGUGGAGCGGUGAAAUGCGUAGAUAUUGGAAAGAACACCAAUGGCGAAGGCACUCUACUGGGCUAUUACUGACACUCAGAGACGAAAGCUAGGGGAGCAAAUGGG
rnacentral:rRNA from 1 species